rnacentral:rRNA from 1 species
AACGUAGAAGGCGAACGUUAUUCGGAUUUACUGGGCGUAAAGCGGGGGUAGACGGCCCCUUAAGUCGGGUAUGAAAUCUCCUGACUCAAUCAGGAGAGGCUAUUCGAUACUGAGGAGCUUGAGGGCAGCAGAGGAAGGUGGAACUCCCGGUGUAGCGGUGAUAUGCGUAGAUAUCGGGAGGAACACCAGUGGCGAAGGCGACCUUCUAGGCUGUUCCUGACGUUGAGACCCGAAAGCGUGGGGAGCGAAACGGAUUAGAUACCCCCGUA